AAGAUGACAUCACAUUUGUGAGUUAUACUUUUUUCGGAUUGUUUUAUAUACGAUGGAACAUCAUCUGCUUGGAUCCCGACAGACCGAGACAGACAC
rfam:Megasphaera cerevisiae DSM 20462 scaffold_1, whole genome shotgun sequence.